CCUACGGGGGGCAGCAGUGGGGAAUAUUGGACAAUGGGGGGAACCCUGAUCCAGCCAUGCCGCGUGUGUGAAGAAGGCCCUCGGGUUGUAAAGCACUUUCAGUGAGGAAUAACGCCUGGUGGUUAAUACCCAUCAGGAAAGACAUCACUCACAGAAGAAGCACCGGCUAACUCCGUGCCAGCAGCCGCGGUAAUACGGAGGGUGCGAGCGUUAAUCGGAAUUACUGGGCGUAAAGCGCGCGUAGGUGGCUUGAUAAGCCGGUUGUGAAAGCCCCGGGCUCAACCUGGGAACGGCAUCCGGAACUGUCAAGCUAGAGUGCAGGAGAGGAAGGUAGAAUUCCCGGUGUAGCGGUGAAAUGCGUAGAGAUCGGGAGGAAUACCAGUGGCGAAGGCGGCCUUCUGGACUGACACUGACACUGAGGUGCGAAAGCGUGGGUAGCAAACAGGAUUAGAUACCCUGGUAGUC
rnacentral:rRNA from 1 species